CUUUUACAAUGAAGAGUUUGAUCCUGGCUCAGGAUGAACGCUAGCUACAGGCUUAACACAUGCAAGUCGAGGGGCAGCAUGAUUGAAGCUUGCUUCAAUCGAUGGCGACCGGCGCACGGGUGAGUAACACGUAUCCAACCUGCCGAUAACUCGGGGAUAGCCUUUCGAAAGAAAGAUUAAUACCCGAUAGCAUAGUUUCCCCGCAUGGGGUUACUAUUAAAGGAUUCCGGUUAUCGAUGGGGAUGCGUUCCAUUAGGCAGUUGGCGGGGUAACGGCCCACCAAACCCACGAUGGAUAGGGGUUCUGAGAGGAAGGUCCCCCACAUUGGAACUGAGACACGGUCCAAACUCCUACGGGAGGCAGCAGUGAGGAAUAUUGGUCAAUGGACGAGAGUCUGAACCAGCCAAGUAGCGUGAAGGAUGACUGCCCUAUGGGUUGUAAACUUCUUUUAUACGGGAAUAAAGUUUGCCACGUGUGGCUUUUUGCAUGUACCGUAUGAAUAAGGAUCGGCUAACUCCGUGCCAGCAGCCGCGGUAAUACGGAGGAUCCGAGCGUUAUCCGGAUUUAUUGGGUUUAAAGGGAGCGUAGGCGGGGUAUUAAGUCAGUUGUGAAAGUUUGCGGCUCAACCGUAAAAUUGCAGUUGAUACUGGUAUCCUUGAGUGCAGCAUAGGUGGGCGGAAUUCGUGGUGUAGCGGUGAAAUGCUUAGAUAUCACGAAGAACUCCGAUUGCGAAGGCAGCUCACUGGAGUGUAACUGACGCUGAUGCUCGAAAGUGUGGGUAUCAAACAGGAUUAGAUACCCUGGUAGUCCACACAGUAAACGAUGAAUACUCGCUGUUGGCGAUACAAUGUCAGCGGCCAAGCGAAAGCAUUAAGUAUUCCACCUGGGGAGUACGCCGGCAACGGUGAAACUCAAAGGAAUUGACGGGGGCCCGCACAAGCGGAGGAACAUGUGGUUUAAUUCGAUGAUACGCGAGGAACCUUACCCGGGCUUGAAUUGCAGCGGAAUGUGGUGGAAACAUCCCAGCCUUCGGGCCGCUGUGAAGGUGCUGCAUGGUUGUCGUCAGCUCGUGCCGUGAGGUGUCGGCUUAAGUGCCAUAACGAGCGCAACCCUUAUCUAUAGUUACCAUCAGGUGAUGCUGGGGACUCUAUUGAGACUGCCGUCGUAAGAUGUGAGGAAGGUGGGGAUGACGUCAAAUCAGCACGGCCCUUACGUCCGGGGCUACACACGUGUUACAAUGGGGGGUACAGAAGGCAGCUACACAGCGAUGUGAUGCUAAUCCCAAAAACCUCUCUCAGUUCGGAUUGGAGUCUGCAACCCGACUCCAUGAAGCUGGAUUCGCUAGUAAUCGCGCAUCAGCCACGGCGCGGUGAAUACGUUCCCGGGCCUUGUACACACCGCCCGUCAAGCCAUGAAAGCCGGGGGUACCUGAAGUACGUAACCGCAAGGAGCGUCCUAGGGUAAAACUGGUGAUUGGGGCUAAGUCGUAACAAGGUAGCCGUACCGGAAGGUGCGGCUGGAACACCUCCUUUCU
rnacentral:rRNA from 1 species